rnacentral:lncRNA from 1 species
AAAUAGUGCUAUAGCUUCUGGGUUUAGGUAUAUUCUCCAGGAGAAUACAAGAAGCAUUUACUCUAGAAAGAAGAAUUCUUCAAAAAGUAGGAUUUCUGAAGUUAGUCAACAUAUGGGUAAACUCAGUUGCCUUAGUGACAAUGGCUUACCUGUACCCAUUUUCUCCUUCUCUUUUUCUCUCCUGUUGGUGGUGCUUUUAUAACUUUCUGAGAGCCAAUUAGGUGACACCAGAGAUGAACAUUCCCUGGUUUCUGUUGUCCUGCUUCAAAAAGACUAACCAGAAUCAGGGUUGGGGCUGAGGCUCAGGGGCAGAGCACUUGCCUAACAUGUAUGGGGCACUGGGUUUGAUCCUCAGCACCUCAUAAAAAUAAAAUAAGACUAACCAGAAUCAGAAAACCAGCCCCAGAUGUGUGCUUACAAAGCUGUUUUUUGGUUCAUCCUUGGAAGAUUAGGGCUCCUAAACCAAGCUGGUAAUCCAUUCCAAUCUACCAGAGGAGGAGGACAACUUAAUAUUGUGGAGCUAUGUUAGCAUAACUAGUAAAUCAACUAUAGGAUUAAUUCUGUUUCUAAGACUUUGGUGUUCUGCCUGAGAGCUAUGUUGAAUUUGGACGUGUUUUGGUGCCAUUACUUUGGGAACUAAUGCUUGGUCUCUUGAAACAUCUACUUUUGUGGCCUGAAGCUGUUCUGACUUUCCCUCCUGGUAUCAGCAUGGAAUUGGC